UGGGGACUUGGCAGUGCUAGGUUAACAGAUUUGAUGAUCUUAGAGGUCUUUUCUAAAUGAUUCUGUGAUUCUAAGUACGUAAGUUGCUUGCCUACCCACUAAUAAUAGCUAUUAGUCACUACUCAGUUCUUGAGUAUCAGCUGUAUGCAGAGCAGUAGCCUUAUCAGCCACUGUUGCCCUCCCCAUGCUUUUUUGCUGGCUCAGAUUUCUUGUGCAAAUAGAAACAGACAUUAUUUUUCUGUUCAGGGCAUAAGUCAACUUUGAAAUCAUCCAGCCUGUCACACUUCUCUCUCUUUUGUUUAUAAUCUGGAAACUUUCUUCUGCAUAUGCACAGGGCAACAGCACUGUUGUUUGUUAGUCUUUCAAGCACUCUUGCAGUGCAAGUAAUACCUCCAGUCUUAUAAGAAGGACUGGAAAGGAAGAUAGAGCACAGCACAAAGCGUUGACUUCCAGAUGAUGUAACUUUCAUAAGUACAGCUCCCACUGUACUACUUUGCCACCAGAUAGCACUUAAUCUAAAACUUUUGUUGGUAUCUCCUCUGUCCCUUUGGAAGAAGAAAUGGAAAAAUGUUGAGAGUAAAAAUCAUCUGGCUCUAAUUCUACCGUGUGUCAUUAGAGUGAGUAAUAAAAUCCAGUUUUCACUGCUACAGGUAGCUGUAAUAUUUAUUUCCAGAGGUAAAAGAGUUGAGUUUCUAUAUGUUUAGCUCUAGACAAAAUGGGCUAAGGUUGUUAUCACUAUUAAUGGUACUAGCCUUAAUUCUUAGAAGUGCAUUGUUCAUCCAGUAAGAUUGCAAAGUGAUUUAAAAGAUGAAUUAGGAGCAUAUGUAAUAUGGAGUUUAUUGACAUCAGUAACAUACAACGAAAAAAAAGCCAAGAAGAAGUUUACAAUAAGAGUAGUGCUGGAUGAUGCAAUGAGGUGAGAAGGUUCAGUUAGAUAUUAUAAAAUAAAUUUGCACUGAAAGAGUGGUUAAUCACUGCAGUAAGUUGCCCAGGGAGGUGGAGUCACCAUCUCUGGUUGUGUUCAAGAGACGUCUUGAAGAUGUGUCACUUGGGUUUAUGGUUUAGGAGUGAUUGUGGUGGUACUGGGCUAAUGGUUAGACUAGAUGAUCUUGAAGGUCUCUUCCAACUUUGAUGAUUCUGUGGAAUACUCAAAAGACAUUCAGAAUGGAGGAAUCACUUUUUUUCUUUGAACUAAGCAGGUCAUUUAGUGAACCAGCAAAAAAAAUGGGAAAUGGAUAUCUAAUGUUUUCCGUUGUCAGUACAGGAAUAUGACAGUAUGGUCUGGAUAUUGCAUAAUUUAAAAAAUCUUGAGGUAGACAUCAGUUUGGAGAUGCACCAGGAGACACAUUUGAAGACACACUAGAGCAUGUGACAUCAUGACAUAGGAUCUGAAGAGUCACCAUGGAAAUGGUUUACCUCAGUUCAGCUAAACGAAGCUGUUUGGUCAACAAUUUCAGACUUUGGCACAUGAAACCAACCUAAGUAUUAAAUCUCUUUAUCGAAUGAAGGAUAUUUCUGCUGUUACACUGCUGUGAAGAAAAAUGAGGUGUUUUGGUGCAGCAGAAGGAAGAAAAGGAUGCUACAUUUCUCCCUGGUAGUCUGACAUCAACUAGACUGGAAGCUAAAACCACGUCCUGGUGUAACAGAGUAGUUACAAUGAACAAUAUGCAAGUAUGAAUAGAAAGCAAAACCAAGGAAGAAAGCAGAUACUUUUCACUGUAAACAACAGGAUUUGUACAAACAAUGGGAUUAUGUUAAACUAUCAAGGAAGGCAAGCAGAGUAGCAGAGUUCUGACCUGGUAUGUUCCGAGUAAAUAAACUGAACACAUUAAGCUAUCCCAACACUACAUUCAUCCCUAUACGAAAGAGAAAGGAAUAGAGGUGACCCACUGAAUAAAUGCAAGGCCCCUUUGAUGUUGUCUAGUUUUUACAAGCCUAGCUAAGGAGGCUCUAUGAAGUAAUGGAAAGCAUGUUUUGUCAAACUCACAGGAAUUUUUAUUUCAAGAGGAGGAGGAUGAGAGGACAAUGUUACAGACAUUUGUCACCCUGUGUCGAGCACUGCUACGUAGAGAUGCACAGGCUGAGCGUUCUGUAAGAACCUACACAGGAUACAACAGAAUAUAUCAACACAGCAAAACUGUUCUUAUGACAUUCCUUGUUCCUGUAAAUAUCAGUAGCUUCGAAACGGUCUACACACUUAAAUGCAUCAAUAUGCAUUAUAUGCAUUAUUUCAUUCCUUUCCUCUUAUUGUGUGAUUCCCCCACUGUAGAGCUAUGCCCCCAACUUUGUAAAAUAAUGUAUCCAUUACACACUGAAAAAAUGAGCCUGAUGAAUCACAAAACUCCACAUAAUUUAGUACAUCAUCUCUCAAUACAGCUUUUCAGUCUAAUCUGAGGCAUUAUUGAAGAUAACACGUUCAUUAAAACAGCUGCCAGCAAACUGUUCAUGGAUUGUUUCAUGGAAGCACUAGUCAAAGGGAAAUGAAACACCACAUGCUAAUGAUAUGCAAAAAGGACAAAAAACAUUUAAGUUUUGAUACAUUGAUAUUGAGAUGUUAAUAUGAUUUUUCUUAAUGAGUAAUGCUAUGCCAGCUUUUAUAUGGUAAAUCACAAACCUGGUGUUUCUUUUCAGGAAACUUAUACAACAUAUAAUAAAAAAUAAAAAAAAAAAAAAAAAAAAAAAAACACAUGGCAAAAUUGCCAGGGCUGUUCAGCACGGAUGACUAAAUGAGAACAGAAUUAUUAUUUAUUGUUUCUUAUUGCUACUUCUCUGUGAGUAAGCAUUUAAGUAGCAGAUAUUUUGAUCCAGAGCUUGCUCCUGGUCUCUAGUGGAGUGAACUAAAAUCUCUCAUCCCCUCAAACACUAGGAAGUCCUAGAUUCAAUUGUGCUGGCUCAAAUGAACGUGUAACAUCUUCCAUUGUAACCAGGCUUUAGCAAUAACUGCUGGUCUCUGAACAGGACCAAAUGUGUGACAUUAAAAUUCUGCCACUACUUUUCUCA